rnacentral:rRNA from 1 species
AUUGAACGCUGGCGGCAUGCCUUACACAUGCAAGUCGAACGGUAAGGCCCUUCGGGGUACACGAGUGGCGAACGGGUGAGUAACACGUGGGUGAUCUGCCCUGCACUUCGGGAUAAGCCUGGGAAACUGGGUCUAAUACCGGAUAGGACCCUGGGAUGCAUGUCCUGGGGUGGAAAGCUUUUGCGGUGUGGGAUGGGCCCGCGGCCUAUCAGCUUGUUGGUGGGGGGAUGGCCUACCAAGGCGACGACGGGUAGCCGGCCUGAGAGGGUGACCGGCCACACUGGGACUGGGAUCCGGCACAGACUCCUACGGGAGGCAGCAGUGGGGAAUAUUGCACAAUGGGCGCAAGCCUGAUGCAGCGACGCCGCGUGAGGGAUGACGGCCUUCGGGUUGUAAACCUCUUUCAGCACCGACGAAGCGCAAGUGACGGUAGGUGCAGAAGAAGGACCGGCCAACUACGUGCCAGCCGCCGCGGUAA